CACGUAGGGGGCGAGCGUUGUUCGGAAUUACUGGGCGUAAAGGGCAUGUAGGCGGCUUGGUAAGCCUGGCGUGAAAGUCACCGGCUCAACCGGUGGAUUGCGUUGGGAACUGCUGAGCUUGAAUUGCGGAGAGGGAGCUAGAAUUCCAGGUGUAGGGGUGAAAUCUGUAGAGAUCUGGAAGAAUGCCAGUGGCGAAGGCGAGCUCCUGGCCGACGAUUGACGCUGAGGUGCGAAAGUGUGGGGAUCAAACAGGAUUAGAUACCCUGGUAGUCCACACUGUAAACGAUGUGCACUAGGUGCUGGGGCGGAUGCUUCAGUGCCGGAGCUAACGCGGUAAGUGCACCGCCUGGGGAGUAUGCUCGCAAGGGUGAA
rnacentral:rRNA from 1 species